UAAUCUCAUCUGGUAAUUGAAGUGAUCUAUUUUUUAAAAAAAGAAACUUCAUUAUCAUUUCAGAUUGUA
rnacentral:pre_miRNA from 1 species